rnacentral:lncRNA from 1 species
UAUUUGCUAUUAAAUAAAAAUCAUCAUUAAGAAUUGCAUGAGUUAAAAACAAGAGAAUCUUAAAACUAGAGUUGUUGAAAGACGUUACUAGAUGGCAGUUCUUUUUUAAAUAUCUUCCCACUAGAUGGUGUUCUACAUGUAAACAAUUAAAAAAAAUAAAUACUUUAGUGAAAAAACGAAGGAAAUGAAAACAAAGACACGAAACAAUUGUGAAAGCAGCCGGAAAAGCCGCAAGCGGCCCACUUAUUAUUAAGACCGGAGGACAAACCUUCUAUUCUUCCCUCUCCAUUCGGCUUGAAACCAGGUCUGAAUAGAGUGCUACCAUUUAAAACACGAGUUUCCUGCUGCUACGAUUUCCCUUCACAUAGAAAACAAUUUUCCAACAGAAUGUUGAUGUUAACCAAUUGGAGGAGAACAAAAUAGAAAGUUUAAAAGUCUUUACAACCUCCUGGUGGAGAAAGCUACUCUCCAUGUGGUAUUUCAUCCGCGAAAAUAAGGGGAAAAAAGAAAGGGGAGAACGGAUUUGCCACAUUGAAACGGAGAGACCAGGCCAGUCAAAACGGGGAAAGGAGGGCGUCUCAUUUAUUGCAUUGACCCUUUUCCCGAAUUCCACGAGAUAAAUCGACAUUCUUUUCAAACCACAAAUAAAACAGGUUGAUCUGGCUCUUCGUGACUACAAUAUAGGAAAAUGACGAAACUGAGAAGACAACGAAGUGGGGAUGGCCUCAAAGGACAAAUUUAGUGAACGACUGGCCUUGAUUUCAUAGGGCGCGUGAAUCUCAAGGACUGCAAGGAUCGAUAAUUUAAACAUUGACGUCCUUGGGAUUUUGACCAUGACAUAUCCCUGUCGUAGACGAACGAAAAAAGAACUUGCAAGUUGUUGCCAAAAACAUUUGGCACGACACCAUCUCCUUAAUGUUUACUUGUACGGUUUUCUUUUUGCAAAGGUUUCAAGGCCUUUUAAAGAUAAAAAGAAACCCACGAGCUGUUUACGCCCAUCUUCUUCUAGUUCCACCGAAAAGUCAACGACCACUGAAAAAGCCAAGACUCCCCCUCGAGGCUUUCGUGGUGCAAAAAAGAUCAUCCUGAGUGCAAAGUAAUAUGAUAACUUGUUUUGGCCAGCAACAGAGAUCAACUACACCAAAAUUCCCUUUUGAUUGGACAUCUCGAUAUAAGCCCCACCAGUUUAAAGGUUACAUGUAUUGAGGCCAAUAGCAAGAAAGACUAAAACAUUAGGUUGUAGUGAUCUCUUUAAAGAUUAAACUUACCAAAAGAAAUCAGCCUUUUAUCACUUGCUUGUAAAAAGUUGUUCUUCGAUAGCAGCUAAAUAAACACUACCAGAAUGCAGUAGUAUCCAGGCGAAACUAUUCACUUUUCAAUAAGCACAGCGACAAUUCUUUGGAGAUGAUCGCUUUUGCCCUAAAAUAGCCUCUGCUGCUGGACACGGACUGAUGAUCGUAUUGAUGAUGGAUAACACAAACCCACAUGUGAAUCUAUGUCUCACAGCUGUCAGUUGAACAACUUUUUUAGAAACAACACAACGACCCUACUUUACACUAGCACUCAACAUACAAAAGACUGGUAUACAACUACUUCUGAAGACGCCCAAUACCAGACGGGAGAUUCGCUGAGUAGAGCUGCGUGAUUAGUAUGACAGAAACCCAAUGGGGGUAAAAACACGCAGAGCCGAGACGGAACUGAAAAUGAAUCAACCUCUAAGCUACAGCGUCACCUCGGCAACUGCGCAGUCUCUAACGAAUGGCCAAAGAUAGCAGACGAAACAUAAAAAAUGACAAAAUACUGUUGACACAAUCGAUGGAAUGCCGGGAAGAAAAAACAGGAUUUGUAUUUCUUAACCCAACAAUUUACAGAACUCUGCAGAUAUCCGUAAACGGAACUUGAGUCGCACAAAGAAAACUUUUUCCUAGUCUUCCAGGAAAAAGUAAUUGCCCGAUCUCUUCUGCUCCACGUCCUAUAAAAUUUUCAAAAAGGAGAAAAAAACAUUUUGAAUUUAAGGUUGGUUAUUAAAAGAUACUGAAAACAAACCUUGACGGAGUUCUCUUUAUUAAUUCGUGGCCGGUAGUUGUUGGGAUCUCGGCGGAAAGUAAUGGCCAAGAGCUCAAGAAAGCGGUUCAUGCCAGGCAAAAGGGCUUGAGGAGCGUUGGCUACCGACUCGAUCGAAGGUUGGCCUU